AGUGAACGCUGGCGGUAGGCCUAACACAUGCAAGUCGAACGGCAGCACAGGAGAGCUUGCUCUCUGGGUGGCGAGUGGCGGACGGGUGAGGAAUACAUCGGAAUCUACUUUUUCGUGGGGGAUAACGUAGGGAAACUUACGCUAAUACCGCAUACGACCUACGGGUGAAAGCAGGGGACCUUCGGGCCUUGCGCGAUUGAAUGAGCCGAUGUCGGAUUAGCUAUUUGGCGGGGUAAAGGCCCACCAAGGCGACGAUCCGUAGCUGGUCUGAGAGGAUGAUCAGCCACACUGGAACUGAGACACGGUCCAGACUCCUACGGGAGGCAGCAGUGGGGAAUAUUGGACAAUGGGCGCAAGCCUGAUCCAGCCAUACCGCGUGGGUGAAGAAGGCCUUCGGGUUGUAAAGCCCUUUUGUUGGGAAGGAAAUCCAGCUGGCUAAUACCCGGUUGGGAUGACGGUACCCAAAGAAUAAGCACCGGCUAACUUCGUGCCAGCAGCCGCAGUAA
rnacentral:rRNA from 1 species